GAAUUGUUCAAACAGAGAGAGAGAAUGAUAACUACAUUCCCAUUGACUGGAGCUCCAGCUCACUGCAGGGAGCAUCUCUGAAGUGGAAACCUCCCUGGGUUUUCCUCCCCACCCUGGCAUGCCAAAUCUCUACAAGGCUAACCACAUCCCCUCCCACUGAGGCCACACAAGGCAACCCAGCUAGAAUAUAUCCCACAGACAGGCAACAGCUUUUGGGCUAGCCCCAGUUCCAGUUAUUCGGGACCCACAUGAAGACCAAGCUGCACAUCUGCUACCUAAAGGAUCCAUGUAUGAGUCUUUGAACAGAGAAAAAACUCUCAAAAGAGUAUUAUUCAUCUUAAAGACUUCCAUGGAAUAUAGUUCAUGAAGUGUCUGCAAUAGAAAAAUAAGGAGCCUGACAGAUGCUCUUUUCACGGACACUGCACAGCCUCUCGGGAAGUUGCCGAUGAUGACAGCGAUGAGCUCACCUGACAGACUGCUCUUUCUCCCUCUUGGGAGACUCACAUCCACACCAGGAAGAACCCGGAGGAGUGACUCAGAAUUCCCAGCAUCAGUGCCAGCUUGUGUGCUGCUGCUCUGAGCGUGAGGGUGAUGAUCAUGCCAGGGAGUCAGAUGUCUGCUGGAUUUAGAAAAGGAUCGAAGGUCAUAAAGGGAAACAACAAGCCUAAGGGCUGCCAGGAGUUCCGAAGCCCUUACAACAUCUCUUCAACACCCUUCCCAGCCAGCAGCAUGGCUACCAGAAGAGGAGGGACAGCAAGGAAGAGGAAGGGAUGACUUACACCCCUCCUCUUCUUCCUACCCCGAAAACACCCAUGUUCCUAGCAUUCUCUACAGAGGAUUCGUAGCGUAAGCGAAUCUUACAAUAAAGAGAAAAUUUAACAACUGU
rnacentral:lncRNA from 1 species